GCACGGAAGUUAGCCGGAGCUUAUUCUCCAGGUACUGACAUUAUCAUCCCUGGUAAAAGAGCUUUACAACCCUAAGGCCUUCAUCACUCACGCGGCAUUGCUGGAUCAGGCUUUCGCCCAUUGUCCAAUAUUCCCCA
rnacentral:rRNA from 1 species